rnacentral:rRNA from 1 species
GACGAACGCUGGCGGCGUGCCUAACACACGCAAGUCGAGCGAGUGGAGUUCUUCGGAACAAAGCUAGCGGCGGACGGGUGAGUAACACGUGGGCAACCUGCCUCAUAGAGGGGAAUAGCCUUCCGAAAGGGAGAUUAAUACCGCAUAAGAUUGUAGCUUCGCAUGAAGUAGCAAUUAAAGGAGUAAUCCGCUUUGAGAUGGACCCGCGGCGCAUUAGCUAGUUGGUGAGGUAACGGCUCACCAAGGCCACGAUGCGUAGCCGACCUGAGAGGGUGAUCGGCAACAUUGGAACUGAGACACGGUCCAGACUCCUACGGGAGGCAGCAGUGGGGAAUAUUGCACAAUGGGCGAAAGCCUGAUGCAGCAACGCCGCGUGAGUGAUGAAGGCCUUCGGGUUGUAAAGCUCUGUCUUUGGGGACGAUUAUGACGGUACCCAAGGAGGAAGCCACGGCUAACUACGUGCCAGCAGCCGCCGUAAAAC